rnacentral:rRNA from 1 species
ACGUACACUCCUACGGGAGGCAGCAGUGAGGAAUAUUGGACAAUGGGUGGAAGCCUGAUCCAGCCAUCCCGCGUGCAGGAAGACGGCCCUAUGGGUUGUAAACUGCUUUUAUCUGGGGAUAAACCUACUUACGUGUAAGUAGCUGAAGGUACCAGAAGAAUAAGCACCGGCUAACUCCGUGCCAGCAGCCGCGGUAAUACGGAGGGUGCAAGCGUUAUCCGGAUUUGUUGGGUUUAAAGGGUCCGUAGGCGGACUGAUAAGUCAGUGGUGAAAUCCGACAGCUUAACUGUCGAACUGCCAUUGAUACUGUUAGUCUUGAGUAAGGUUGAAGUGGCUGGAAUAAGUAGUGUAGCGGUGAAAUGCAUAGAUAUUACUUAGAACACCAAUUGCGAAGGCAGGUCACUAAGUCUUAACUGACGCUGAUGGACGAAAGCGUGGGGAGCGAACAGGAUUAGAAACCCGGGUAGUCC